GACGAACGCUGGCGGCGUGCUUAACACAUGCAAGUCGAACGGAAAGGCCCUGCUUUUGUGUGGUGCUCGAGUGGCGAACGGGUGAGUAACACGUGAGUAACCUGCCCUUGACUUUGGGAUAACUUCAGGAAACUGGGGCUAAUACCGGAUAGGAGCGCCUGCUGCAUGGUGGGGGUUGGAAAUUUUCGGCGGUUGGGGAUGUACUCGCGGCUUAUCAGCUUGUUGGUGGGGUAGUGGCUUACCAAGGCUUUGACGGGUAGCCGGCCUGAGAGGGUGACCGGCCACAUUGGGACUGAGAUACGGCACAGACUGCUACGGGAGGCAGCAGUGGGGAAUAUUGCACAAUGGGCGGACGCCUGAUGCAGAAACGCCGCGUGCGGGAUGACGGCCUUCGGGUUGUAAACCGCUUUCGCCUGUGACGAAGCGUGAGUGACGGUAAUGGGUAAAGAAGCACCGGCUAACUACGUG
rnacentral:rRNA from 1 species